rnacentral:tRNA from 7 species
GCCUGUUUAGCUCAGUUGGUACAGCGUAAGGCUCUUAACCUUGUGGUUGUGGGUUCGAGCGGUGGGCG